UACGAAGGUGGCAAGCGUUGUUCGGAAUUACUGGGCGUAAAGCGCGUGUAGGCGGCUCUUCAAGUCAGGCGUGAAAGCCCUGAGCUCAACUCAGGAACUGCGCUUGAUACUGUCGAGCUAGAGUGUGGAAGGGGCAAUCGGAAUUCCGUGUGUAGCGGUGAAAUGCGUAGAUAUACGGAGGAACACCAGAGGCGAAGGCGGAUUGCUGGGCCAACACUGACGCUGAGACGCGAAAGCCAGGGUAGCAAACGGG
rnacentral:rRNA from 1 species